AUUGAACGCUGGCGGCAGGCCUAACACAUGCAAGUCGAGCGGACGAAGGGAGAUCGCGCCUGGCUGCAGCUACCGACGGACGGGUAAGGAAUACGAACCUACCUUGUCUUUGAGGAUAACGUACCGUAGGGGGACCUAAUCUAAUACACGUCAAUAUGGAGAAAGGCAGGGAUCUUCAGAGCAAGAGGGAUUAGAUGUGACUAGGUCGGAUUAGCUAGUUGGUGGGGUAAAGGCUUACCAAGGCGACGAUCCGUAACUGGUCUGAGAGGAUGAUCAGUCACACUGGAACUGAGACACGGUCCAGACUCCUACGGGAGGCAGCAGUGGGGAAUAUUGGACAAUGGGCGAAAGCCUGAUCCAGCCAUGCCGCGUGUGUGAAGAAGGUCUUCGGAUCGUAAAGCUCUGUUAUUAGGGAGGAAGAACAGUAAGUUAAUCCCUUCCUGUCUUGACGUUACCUACAGAAUAAGCCCCGGCUAACUUCGUG
rnacentral:rRNA from 1 species